rnacentral:rRNA from 1 species
UUAGGUAGUUGGAGAGGUAAUGGCUCCCCAAGCCGACGAUCGGUAGCCGGACUGAGAGGUCGAUCGGCCACAUUGGGACUGAGACACGGCCCAGACUCCUACGGGAGGCAGCAGUGGGGAAUAUUGGGCAAUGGGCAAAGGCCUGAUCCAGCAAUUCUGUGUGGAAGAAGAAGGUUUUCGGAUCGUAAAUUCCUUUCAUUUGGGAAGAAAAGUAUGACGGUACCAAAAGAAGAAGCAACGGCUAAUUACGUGCCAGCAGCCGCGGUAAUACGUAAGUUGCAAGCGUUAUCCGGAAUUACUGGGCAUAAAGGGCAUCUAGGCGGUUUCGCAAGUCAGAAGUGAAAAUUCAGGGCUCAACCCUGUCCUUGCUUUUGAAACUGCGAGACUAGAGUACAGGAGAGGAGGGCGGAACUACAAGUGUAGAGGUGAAAUUCGUAGAUAUUUGUAGGAAUGCCAAUGACGAAGGUAGCUCUCUGGACUGAAACUGACGCUGAAGUGCGAAAGUUAGGGUAGCAAACGGGAUUAGAUACCCCGGUAGUCCUAACUGUAAACGAUGAUUACUGGGUGUGGGGGAGCGAAACCUCUGUGCCGAAGCAAAC